UGGGGAAUCUUCCGCAAUGGACGAAAGUCUGACGGAGCAACGCCGCGUGAGUGAAGAAGGUUUUCGGAUCGUAAAGCUCUGUCUUCAGGGACGAAUGUGCAGGAUGUAAAUAAUGUCUUGUAAUGACGGUACCUGAGGAGGAAGCCACGGCUAACUACGUGCCAGCAGCCGCGGUAAUACGUAGGUGGCAAGCGUUGUCCGGAUUUAUUGGGCGUAAAGCGCGCGCAGGCGGGAUGGUAAGUCUGUCUUAAAAGUUCGGGGCUCAACCCCGUGAUGGGACAGAAACUAUCAUUCUUGAGUAUCGGAGAGGAAAGUGGAAUUCCUAGUGUAGCGGUGAAAUGCGUAGAUAUUAGGAGGAACACCAGUGGCGAAGGCGACUUUCUGGACGAUGUCUGACGCUGAGGCGCGAAAGCCAGGGUAGUGAACGGG
rnacentral:rRNA from 1 species